GCCAGCAGCCGCGGUAACACGGAGGGUGCAAGCGUUGUUCGGAAUUACUGGGCGUAAAGGGCGCGCAGGCGGUCCGGUCAGUCGGAAGUGAAAUCCGUCGGCUCAACCGGCGAAUUGCUUUCGAUACUACCAGACUUGAGUACGGGAGAGGAGAGCGGAAUUCCCAGUGUAGAGGUGAAAUUCGUAGAUAUUGGGAAGAACACCGGUGGCGAAGGCGGCUCUCUGGACCGAUACUGACGCUGAGGCGCGAAAGCGUGGGGAGCAAACAGGAUUAGAUACCCUGGUAGUCCACGCUGUAAACUUUGAGUACUAGGUGUAGGGGGUACCGACCCCCCCUGUGCCGACGCAAACGCAUUAAGUACUCCGCCUGGGGACUACGGCCCGCAGGCUAAAACUCAAAGGAAUUGACGGGGGCC
rnacentral:rRNA from 1 species